CCUACGGGUGGCAGCAGUGGGGAAUAUUGCUCAAUGGGCGAAACCCUGAUGCAGCGACGCCGCGUGGGUGAAGAAGCGCCUCGGCGCGUAAAGCCCUGUCAGCCGGGAAGAAAAAGACGGUACCUGAAGCAGAAGCCCCGGCUCACUACGUGCCAGCAGCCGCGGCAAUACGUAGGGGGCAAGCGUAAUCCGGAUUUACUGGGUGUAAAGGGGGCGCAGACGGGGAUGCAAGCCCGGAGUGAAAGCCGGGGGCCCAACCCCUGGACUGCGCUUGAAACUGCGUUGCUAGAGUGCAGGGGGGGCAGGCGGAAUGCCUGGUGUAGGGGUGAAAUGCGUAGAUAUCAGGAGGAACACCGAUGGCGAAGGGGGCCUGCGGGAGCGCAACUGACGUUGAGGCCCGAAAGCGUGGGGAGCAAACAGGAUUAGAUACCCCAGUAGUC
rnacentral:rRNA from 1 species